rnacentral:rRNA from 1 species
AGAGUUUGAUCAUGGCUCAGAAUGAACGCUGGCGGCGUGCUUAACACAUGCAAGUCGAACGAGAAAGCUUUAGCUUGCUAGAGCGAGUAAAGUGGCGAACGGGUGAGUAACGCGUGGGUAAUCUGCCUCCGAAUCGGGGAUAACAUUGCGAAAGUGAUGCUAAUACCGGAUAAAAUCUUAUUGGCUUAGGUGAAAAAGAUCAAAGGUGGUCUCUUUGUAAAAGCUACUGUUCGGAGAUGAGCUCGCGUACCAUUAGCCAGUUGGCAGGGUAACGGCCUACCAAGGCGACGAUGGUUAGCUGGUCUGAGAGGAUGAUCAGCCACACCGGAACUGAAACACGGUCCGGACUCCUACGGGAGGCAGCAGUGAGGAAUUUUGCGCAAUGGGGGAAACCCUGACGCAGCAACGCCGCGUGAGUGAAGAAGGCUUUAGGGUCGUAAAGCUCUGUCAGGCAGGAAGAAAGUGUUAUAAGUGAACAGCUUAUGAUAUUGGCGGUACUGCCGAAGGAAGCACCGGCUAACUCCGUGCCAGCAGCCGCGGUAAUACGGGGGGUGCAAGCGUUAUUCGGAUUCAUUGGGCGUAAAGGGCGCGCAGGCGGUUUUGUAAGUCA